UACGUAGGGGGCUAGCGUUGUCCGGAAUCAUUGGGCGUAAGCGCGUGUAGGCGGCCCGGUAAGUCCGCUCUGAAAGUCGGGGGCUCAACCCUCGGAUGCGGGUGGAUACUGUCGGGCUUGAGUGCGGAAGAGGCGAGUGGAAUUCCUGGUGUAGCGGUGAAAUGCGCAGAUAUCAGGAGGAACACCAAUUGCGAAGGCAGCUCGCUGGGACGUUACUGACGCUGAGACGCGAAAGCGUGGGGAGCAAACAGG
rnacentral:rRNA from 1 species